GGCUUGGUGGUGUAGUUGGUAGGUUAUCUAAUUCUGCUUUAAAGAAGCUAAUUUAGGCUAAUUAAUUCAGGUUAUCACGUCAGUCUAACACACUGAAGGUCCCGAGUUCAAACCUCGGCCGAGUCA